rnacentral:rRNA from 1 species
GUCUACAGCCAUGCUACACUGAACAAGCCCAGUCUCAGCUGAUCUCAGAAGCUAAGCAGGGUCGGGUGUGGUUAGUACUUGAACGGGAGACCACCUAGGAAGACCAGGUGGUGUAGGCA